UUCAAUGGGGAGAUCUGUAGUACGUGUUUGAGCUGAUGGAACAGUCUCCCACCUAGGGCUUCAGUGAGCCUGAAUGGUUUUACUGCUGACAGUAAAUCUGUCUUUCCUUUCCCCUGACAGGUGAGAAGCUAUCCUCUCUCGAAUGGGGGCUCCCACUGUACAUCUGGCACCCACUUCGCAGAAUCACCCUAAGAAGGAUGUACGGAAGACUUGACUGAUUGGAGGAUCAAAAUAUGUUGGGGGAAAAUGUACAAGGAGGACAAACCAAAAGAUCCACAAAAGAAGAGGCUGUCUUAUGAAAGGACUGAUCAUAGAACCAAGCCAAAUAGUACUGAUAAUUAACAUUACAAGACUGCAUCAAAAUAUUCUUAUUCUAGGGAGAAGAGCUGCACAAUAUAGAAAUAAUUAUAGCUAAAAUUAGUAGGGUCAGAAAUAUCAGAGCACACAAAUUUAGAGAAAAGUGUGUGAUGAGGAUGGAACCAGAGAUAAUGAUAGUAUGUAGAAUCUUCAUCUUUUGUAGAAAAUACUAAAACAUCUUGCUUCAUAUCUGAAACUGAUAAUUGAUAAAUACAUGUUUAAAGAUUUUAUAUAAAGUUAAAACAUAGCCACCACCAGAAAUAUAAUCUAACUGUACUACAUCCAAAUUACCAGAUGGGAAAAAAAUAAAACAGACCUUAUAUAGAGCAAAAGAGAAAGAGGAAGAAAACAUUAAAAAGACAAAGUAUAAAAUACAGCAAAGUAAGAGUAAAUAUGUCUACUGUAGCAACAAAUACUCAGUUUAAUAGUUAAAUAAUCUUAUAGUUGUCCAAAACCCACAAGUUUUGCAGGUGUUGUAUUAAAGAGAGGUAUUUAAGAAUGGCCCAGUCUGAAGGUAAAAGUUUGGAGAUGUCAUACAAAUACAAGCAGAAAUAAAGUAGGGGUAAACACAAUGAUAUAUCAACGAGUUAAAAUCACAUUAAAUGCUGAUUAGUAAUACAUUAAAGCCCUUGACAGCACAGAUUCUGCUUCAUACAUUGCUGGUGGAAAUAUAAAA